rnacentral:tRNA from 1 species
UACACUUUAGUAUAUAAUGUAUAAAAGUUUUUGAUACUUUGGGAAAUAGAUGAGACUAUUAAGUGUAU